UGGGGAAUUUUGGACAAUGGGGGAAACCCUGAUCCAGCCAUCCCGCGUGUGCGAUGAAGGCCUUCGGGUUGUAAAGCACUUUUGGCAGGAAAGAAACGUCAUGGGUUAAUACCCCGUGAAACUGACGGUACCUGCAGAAUAAGCACCGGCUAACUACGUGCCAGCAGCCGCGGUAAUACGUAGGGUGCAAGCGUUAAUCGGAAUUACUGGGCGUAAAGCGUGCGCAGGCGGUUCGGAAAGAAAGAGGUGAAAUCCCAGAGCUCAACUUUGGAACUGCAUUUUUAACUACCGGGCUAGAGUGUGUCAGAGGGAGGUGGAAUUCCGCGUGUAGCAGUGAAAUGCGUAGAUAUGCGGAGGAACACCGAUGGCGAAGGCAGCCUCCUGGGAUAACACUGACGCUCAUGCACGAAAGCGUGGGGAGCAAACAGG
rnacentral:rRNA from 1 species